rnacentral:lncRNA from 1 species
GUAAAUUUUUAUUGUUUUUAUGACAUUUUGAAAGGAACAAUAUUUAUGGGUCUACAGAUUUUCAAUUAAAAAUAAUCACAGUUUGACACUAGAUGAAUGCAUAAACUUGAACUGUGAAAAAAAAUAUUGUAGAAAACAUUUCAAAAGCAUAAAAUACAUUAAAAUAUUAACACUAAGGUUUAACAAUUAUCAUACAAAGGUAGAAAAUCUGUGUCUUUUCUUACAUACAAUAUCUGUAACAAAUAUAAACUUGCACAUUAUCUUCUGUAUGAUCUACAGUAUGUAUUUAUUAAAAUGGUGUAAAUACUACCCAGAAAGUCUCCCGUAAUUAACAUGAUUCUAAAAGGAAAAUAAUCAUCCUGUUUGGUUUUAUAAGGAGAGUUUAAUCAGAGGCUUGAAAACUACAUUACUGAUAGUCAGAGGCUCUGACACCCACCCUAGUUGACCAGCAGGUUGUCAUAAUGAUUUUAGAUGGACCUCUACAAACUAUUAGGUUUGGUUCAACCUUGCAGUAUAAUGAAACUAACCUUUGUUAAAGCUAAAACUAUGUAAGUUAUGAAAAACAAUGUUUGUUGAACUUAAUAAUACAUCAUUAGUAAGAAUUUUACAUGAAUAUUCCUUAUCACAUACUAUAGAUCAUACAUACUAUCUAGAGAAAUAUUUUGUCUUUAUUGGGUAGAACACUAAAAACAAAAUUUGCCAUUGAUUACCAAGACUGCACAAAAAAAAAUUUGAGUGGGCUCGGAAAUAAGUAAAAGUCACUGUAGAUUUAAAUAGAUGGGCUUUUUUGCACAAAAAUCAAAUAAAUUUUACAAAGAACCAUUUAAAUCAGAAUGAUUUUCAACAUUACUACAUGUAUCUUGACCCAAAUCUUUAAAACUUGCUAGAGAUGGGAUCCAAAAGGAUAUAAUGGUUUUAUGCAUGUUCUUCAUGAUUGGUAUAUAUUACACAAUAAACUAUGCUAAUGUUAACAAAUUUUUCAUGCAAGCAUUUAGUUCAAUUGGAAUUUUAUCCAGAAAAUUAAAAAAAAAAAAAAUUGAUAUUGACAGAAAAUAAUUGUCGUGUGAAAUUGAUUUAUUCAGUUGACUUUAUAUCAAAUGUACCUAAGUUCCACUUGAAGAAUUAAGGUUUCACUGAAAAAAUACACCACCUUUGUAAGAAAAAGGAUUUAUUCUAUAAUUAGUUUAGUAGUUUGAUUUUGCAGUUUUAAUAAACAUACCAGUUAAAAAAAGUUUUAAGGAGGACUGGUGUCAUGAGAAGACUGUUUUAAUAAGCAAACAUAUUUAAAAGUAGAUGCAGACAUACAUUUACACAUACAAGGGGACUUAAAAGACAUUUCAAAUAGUUAUCUAUCCAUAAAAGACAAAAUAAAUUUCUUCAAGAUACAUGGACAUCAUCUGUAUUCCUAUAUAAAAUUCAACAAGGGCAAUAAAUUUGUUCUCAAUGAAAAUAACUGUAUGGAAAGACUUAGGUAAAAAGAACAUAUGUACAAAUAGUAAGGGACAGUUUUCUUUUCUAAUCUUUCAGUGGUCAAACAUAAUUGGUGAUUUCAAACAAUGAACUUUGGUUCGAACAUUGUAAAUUCAGAAUUUAUUGCAAGGAUUUUAUUAACGCAAAUACUAUGACUAGGUGAGUAUCGAAAUAAUAAAAACUUGCAAUCAGAUCAUUGAAACACAGACCUGUAUGCAUUUUUUCCUUCAAAAUCACAAAUUUAGCAAUUAUUAACCAGCAUUUUGUCUAUUAGCAAAAAUUGCAAUAAUAAAUGCAAGCAUUAAUUUCUGAAUUUACUUUUCUAGUAGCUUGUUGAAAAAAUCUUUCAAGGCAAAACUACCUGUCAUUUGAAUCAUACAAAUGUUUAAACCUAAAUAAUGAAAUCUUCCUCAGAUUUGGGGAAGUGCUAUAAAAUCUUCAAUGAAAAUCCAUAUAUAGACAAUCUAAAAAUAACUAAAUAAAUAUGCAUAAUUUAUGCUCAACUGUAUGUCAGCCUAAGAUGAACUGGUAAAAAAAUAUUAAAGGUUCCUGCAUGCAGUUGCAUAGAUAUACUUUAUUUUUGGAAUAAUGACCACUGCAAGAUUAAUUCAAACAAGACUUGAUACAUUACAAAAAUACACAUCAAAAAGCUUUACACGAUAUUAGACAACAGUACAUGUUUUACAGACUUAAAAAACAUAGACAAAAUGUAGUUACUAUACAUGAAUGAGGUAUAUUUUAUUUCAAAUUUUGAACCAGCAAGAAUAUAUUUUCAAUACACCAAUUUCUAGUUCAUGGAUUUCUCAACUCGUCUUAAUUUUGCACUAGUUGAACUGAAUGUGAACAGUAAGGACCCUUUAAAAUAUUGCAUGAAAAACAUUAUUUUUUUCAAUGGGAGACAAACUAGAAAUUGGUGUAUAUCUUCAGCACAGUUUGAUGCUAAUCAAUAACAAUUAUUCACAUAGCAUGAUUUUUCUUGGUUCAAUGCAUGAAAGCUGACCUGCAGCUUGAGGGCAUUUAAAACCCAUUGGUAAAAUGAUCUGACAUGAUCGGUAAAAAGGAAUGCUGAUAACUUGAAUAUAACCACACUAAAUCAAUUAUGGAGUCUUGUUCAUUUUUUUUUAACGUUUGUAAUGAACUUCUUGUAACUUGUUUGAGUAUUUUUGCCUAAUUAAUUCAAUGACGAAAAAAAAUAACCUGUGUGUGAAAUGUCUUCCUAGAAAUCAAAGCACUUUUAUUUUUGCUUUUAACUUUUAGUUUAUUUGUAACCUGCAUAUUCUAGGCUCAAUGAAUAUAUUUGUGUAAACUUUACCAAAACAAUCCCUCGAAUAACAGGGUACCUGAUAUAAUCUUUGAAAUACAUUUUUAAAAUUAUAUAACUAUUUGAAUUUAAAAAUUUAUAAGCUGUCACCAGAUUUUGAUAUUUUAGAGGAUUAUAUCACUUAAAGCUAAUAACAUUGAUAAAAUUAUCAAAGAAGACAAUCUGUCCUCAAAAACUUUUGACACAAGUAAAAAGUACCAAAAUUUACCAGGUUAACUUCUCUAUGUAAUAAAUCUUCGGAAAUUUAUUAUCGGAGAAGACUUUGCUCAGUUAAAAACUUUUGUCUGAUCCAGUAUUUCUUUAGAACAAUAUUAUAUAUGUUUAAACUAACAAAUUAUCGAUAAACAAUAGCAAAACUUGAAGAAAUUUUAAGUCUUCUAUAUUUCACAAUUUUCAAGAAAGUUUUACCUAUCUGAUAUGUUAGUUGCCAUCAAAAAUUAAAAUAUUAAAUUUAGUGCAGAUCUAGAAAUAAUAUACUUUAAAUAUUCAAAUACAAAACAGUAUACAUGUACAUGUAUAUGUAUAUAUAUAUUUUACUACAAAUAAGACCAUUAUUUUACUGACCUUUGAACCAUUGCCCUAUAUCCUUAACCUAACUACUGGCCAUCUGCAGGUCAAGAUCAGGUGAUAAAAAAUGACUACUUAUAGUUGAGCAAUCUGCUGUCUUAUAUUGUUACCAUAUGGUAAAAAUUAAAUAAUUUAAAUGCCCCAAAAAGUGCAAGCCAGGGCCGACAGUGCAAGGGCUGUAUAGCCAGUCAAGGUCAUUAAAAACUUCCAUUUGUUGUUGUCUUAUAUUCAUUAUCAUAUUACCAUUACUUCAAAGCAUUAAAAUCCCUAUCUUCCAUUAAAACUGAUUCCUGGAUUAUUUCUCAUUUAUGACCAAAAAAAAUUUCUACAGCUUUCAAAAAUAAUGGAUACAGCUUUCAAAGAUUUUUUGCAUUGAUAUAGAGACACACACUACAAUAUGAGCUUUUUUUUUACUUUAGGGACUUUCUUGUCUAAUUUUAACAAUGACAGAUCUAUGUGACGAAACCAUUUACCUUUUUACUUUUCUGAAAAUAAUAAGAGUAUGGAAAUUAAAUGUGUAAGACUUUUAAAAUUC